rnacentral:rRNA from 1 species
ACGAACGCUGGCGGCGUGCUUAACACAUGCAAGUCGAACGGUGAAAGCGGAGCUUGCUCCGCUGGAUCAGUGGCGAACGGGUGAGUAACACGUGGGCAACCUGCCCCAGACUUCGGGAUAACUCUUCGAAAGAGGCGCUAAUACCGGAUAUGAACUCUGCAGGCAUCUGCGGAGUUGGAAAGUUUUUCGGUCUGGGAUGGGCCCGCGGCCUAUCAGCUAGUUGGUGAGGUAGUGGCUCACCAAGGCGACGACGGGUAGCCGGCCUGAGAGGGCGACCGGCCACACUGGGACUGAGACACGGCCCAGACUCCUACGGGAGGCAGCAGUGGGGAAUAUUGCGCAAUGGGCGAAAGCCUGACGCAGCAACGCCGCGUGCGGGAUGAAGGCCUUCGGGUUGUAAACCGCUUUCAGCAGGGAAGAAGCGAAAGUGACGGUACCUGCAGAAGAAGCACCGGCUAACUACGUGCCAGCAGCCGCGGUAAUACGUAGGGUGCAAGCGUUGUCCGGAUUUAUUGGGCGUAAAGAGCUCGUAGGCGGUUCAACAAGUCGGUCGUGAAAGUUCAGGGCUCAACCCUGAAAUGUCGAUCGAUACUGUUGUGACUAGGAUACGGUAGAGGUGAGUGGAAUUCCGAGUGUAGCGGUGAAAUGCGUAGAUAUUCGGAGGAACACCAAUUGCGAAGGCGGCUCACUGGACCGCUAUCGACGCUGAGGAGCGAAAGCUAGGGGAGCAAACAGGAUUAGAUACCCUGGUAGUCCUAGCUGUAAACGAUGGAUACUAGACGUAGGAACUGGAUUGACGGUUUCUGUGUCGUAGCUAACGCGCUAAGUAUCCCGCCUGGGGAGUACGGUCGCAAGACUAAAACUCAAAGGAAUUGACGGGACCCCGCACAAGCGGCGGAGCAUGCGGCUUAAUUCGAUGAUACCCGUAGAACCUUACCUGGACUUGACAUAUAGGGUCAAGCUAUAGAGAUAUAGUGUGCAUUAGCGCCCUAUACAGGUGGUGCAUGGCUGUCGUCAGCUCGUGUCGUGAGAUGUUGGGUUAAGUCCCGCAACGAGCGGAACCCUCGUCGUAUGUUGCCAGCGGAUAAUGCCGGGGACUCAUACGAGACUGCCGGGGUCAACUCGGAGGAAGGUGGGGACGACGUCAAGUCAUCAUGCCCCUUAUGUCUAGGGCUGCACGCAUGCUACAAUGGCCGGUACAGAGGGCUGCGAAACCGCAAGGUGGAGCGAAUCCCAAAAAGCCGGUCUCAGUUCGGAUUGGGGUCUGCAACUCGACCCCAUGAAGUCGGAGUCGCUAGUAAUCGCAGAUCAGCAACGCUGCGGUGAAUACGUUCCCGGGCCUUGCACUCACCGCC